rnacentral:rRNA from 1 species
UACGUAGGUGGCAAGCGUUAUCCGGAAUUAUUGGGCGUAAAGCGCGCGCAGGCGGUUUCUUAAGUCUGAUGUGAAAGCCCACGGCUCAACCGUGGAGGGUCAUUGGAAACUGGGGAACUUGAGUGCAGAAGAGAAAAGCGGAAUUCCACGUGUAGCGGUGAAAUGCGUAGAGAUGUGGAGGAACACCAGUGGCGAAGGCGGGUUGCUGGAGCCGGGCCGACGCUGAGACGCGAAAGCGCGGGGGGCGAACGGG